GUCAAAGUUCAUACUGCCUUAAAUGGUGAAACCGCGAACGGCUCAUUACAACAGCUAUUAUAUACUUGAUCUUGAUUUCCUACGUGGAUAACUGUGGUAAUUCUAGAGCUAAUACAUGCACCAAAGCUCCGAUUUUAUUGACGAGCGCAUCUAUUAGAUUAAAACCAAUCGAGCUUUAAACGGCUCGUUAAUUGGUGACUCUGAAUAGCUUAGCUGAUCGCAUGGUCUAGUACCGGCGACAUAUCUAUCAUUUGUCUAGAACGACAGCCCAGCGGAG
rnacentral:ncRNA from 1 species